UACCACUUUGACGGGUGCUACUUCCGUCGAUCACAUAAUUGGAAGCAACAGAUCAAAAAGAUUGUGUCGUACGGUGUGUAAGAGUUGAGGAUCCCUAAAAUAUUCUUCGCGGAAGAAAUAUAAAAAACACACGUUCCGAUUCUACGAGACUACACUAUCUCUGUUAUCUCACAGGCACGUGUGCUUAGACCAACUGCCGUGUAGCUACCAGCCCUGAAGAGAGUGAAUCAUACCGAUUCACCUGGGAUUGCUUUAACAGUCCCCGAAGUUCCCAGGAGGACAAUUGGUGGCAAAGACUAAACAAAAUCGCGAGCAUACCCACACAGGCAAAAGCGCACCUGGCCAUCCACCACAAUAAAAGGGGAAGACAGCAUUCUAAUCAUCCACCGUACAGUCACAGUGAGACAGACACUGAACUAGAAACAGGUUUUCAAUCCCCGCGCACGCGGGCGCAAGCUGUGCAGAUUAAAAAAAAUCACCAGGCAGCAAAGGCCCUCGAACGAGGGCCUUUUAUUUCUGUAUCCAUUGCAGCCAGCCACCUGCCACCAAACCACGCUAGCAGCAAUCACGCCAACGACACUGGGACGACAGUCGCAUAAAGCAAUAGUGAUCGUCGACCGCCCUGACCGAGCGUCUUGUAUUCUCGUUGUGAGAUACAAAAUUCUAAUUGGAAUUGUGCGUCAACGACGCGAGCAUGUGUUGAAGCGAAGAGGGGAAGUCGUGAGGUUGUUGAAUGGUCAGGUCGACAGUCAAUGGAUAGUGUGUGUUCGAAGAUCGGGAAAGCAACUGAUGAAUGGUGUAUGCGAUGUGUAAGGUGCAUGCUGCAUAGCGCACGCCUAAAUCAAGCCACGCAGGGAAUAGUGAUCGACGGGGAACAGAAUCGUGAGUGCAUGUGUGGAUAGGACGGAAUAGUGCUGGAAAGAAGACAAACGCUGGGUGUCAUUUGGUGCAUGUGUCGUAGCGGCCAAUAAUCAAAAGGGUGUGUGUGCACUAUCGAAUAUUGCGCCAUCGAAUGGUGCGAUUUGGAGGCGUUGUAAGUAGGGGCCCCUAAGCUGUAGCGAAGACGUUCGCUGAAGAUAGCACUGCGGUGCUGGAAGGAGGUAGGCUUAGCUUGUAAGAGAAAACAAA